GAGGGCUACACGGGGGAUGCCUAGGCUCUCAGAGACGACGAAGGACGUGGUAAGCUGCGAAAAGUUACGGGGAAGUGCAAACGACUUAUGAUCCGUAAAUGUCCGAAUGGGGAAACCCGGCAGGUUGAAGACCUGUCGUCGAAAGACGGAAACCCGAUGAACUGAAACAUCUAAGUAGUCGGAGGAAUAGAAAACAAUAGUGAUUCCGCAAGUAGUGGCGAGCGAACGCGGAUUAGCCCAAACCAUCAUGAUACGUCGUGGUGGGGUUGUAGGACUUGCAAAAAGC
rnacentral:rRNA from 1 species